rnacentral:rRNA from 1 species
UACGUAGGUCCCGAGCGUUGUCCGGAUUUAUUGGGCGUAAAGCGAGCGCAGGUGGUUUAUUAAGUCUGGUGUAAAAGGCAGUGGCUCAACCAUUGUAUGCAUUAGAAACUGGUAGACUUGAGUGCGGGAGAGGAGAGUGGAAUUCCAUGUGUAGCGGUGAAAUGCGUAGAUAUAUGGAGGAACACCGGUGGCGAAAGCGGCCUGCUGGACAUUAACUGACGCUGAGGCGCGAAAGCGUGGGGAGCAAACAGG